AGACUAAAUUGAAUAUUCAUACAGAUCAUGCAUAAUCUAGGGUCUACUUAGGUUGUUGGUAUGAAUUUCACCCCCAAGAUUAGAGUAGGUAAGAAAUGUCACUGUUACGUACAUCAGUUUAUUUUCUUGAAUUUAAAUUAAGUCCGCCUCUAAACUCUAAGCUCACUGUGUUGGAUAGAAAUACCAGACAUUGCUAGGAUUCCAGAACCCCCUUCUCACAUCUCCUCCCUCCCAUCCCCACCCUCAAAGAGAGGUCCUGUGAGGUCCAGUAGGGUAGACAGGCUGCCCAUUCUCCAUCUUUAGCGGGCACUGGUCACGCUGCUGUGAUCCUUGCCCAUGCUUACAGGGUCUCAGCGAGGCAGGCACUCCAGAGUUCCUGAGGCUGCCUUGGGUACAGGCAUGCCUGCCUGAGCGCCUUGGCCUCAUAAGCAGCCCAUUCCCUUGACAGCCUGUGCCUGUGGGGUGGUUGUGGAAGAACAGGCCAUGUGUCCCAACUACUCAUGACCCUGCAGACUCCCCUCCUCUGUACCUUGAGGAAUUUUUCUCCCUGUUCUCCCUCACCAUUUGUGCUUACUUCCUAUUCUCAAAAACACACCUUUCUUCUCUCCUCCUAGUAUAUUGCCCUCAGUGUGGGCUUGUGAUUUAAAACCAUCUAAAAAUAUAUGUGCUUUAAGCAACUUCAGCUUUGGCUUGUAUUGCAACUUACCAGAUAGAAAGCAACAGAAGGCCAGGAGAUUUUCUUUGGGGGGCGGGGAGUGAGAGGGGAGGUGCAGGGGGCUGAAAACAGAAAAAAAAUUCCCAGCUUGUCACUUUUACUAUAAUUAAUGAAAUUAAUGCAGAUGGUUUACUUGAAACUCAGCAUAGUGAUUAUAAAUCAGGCUUGGGAGUUUAAAUCCAGCUCCACCACAAGUUAUAAUCUCUCUCCAUACCUUGUUUUUUUUCAUCUAUAAAUGGGGAUACUAAUGGUAAUUAUUUCAUAAGGUUGGGUUUAAAUGAGUUUUAAACAAUUUCAUAUAACGUUCUCUUAAAGCACUUUCAUAGGCAGGUCUAAGAGUUUAGAAUAAAGCCUGGAAUGUAAUAAGCACUAGGUUUUAUUUGUUAUUUCUUGAAUUCACUAAGCAAUCGAAUAGAAUUCAAAACAUAGAAACAAAUAAACUGUAUGAAGCUGUUGCUGUUUUGGAUAUCAAUUUUGAGAGUAAUUCAAUUGAUUGUGAAUUUUGAGCCCUAAGUGACACAAGUUUAGUCCUAAAUGAUACAAAUUUUAGAAAACCCUAAAUCAGCUUUAUACUUGUAGCCAUACAUAGGCUUGAAUUACCACAUCCAAAUUCGAACCUCUCCGUUAAAAUCCUUUUUCUCUCUUCUACUUCUUUCCCUUCUCCUUGAAGUAUUCUUAACUGUGCAUGUAUCGCAUUUGUGAAUUACCUUCCUACUUGUUUUCCCUGCAUCUUCAAACAGUAAUGCAUUCCUCAAAAACACAUCAUUCUGCUGUGCAAAUAUCUUCAUAGGGGAAAUUUGAAAUUGACAAAUACAUUCACUUAAAAUUUGCCUUGUGUUGAAAAUUAAAGAAAAAAAUUUCAAUUGGCUAUUUGUGCAUCGUUAUUAGUAAAUCAACCCAAUUUGAUGUAAAGAUGGAUAUUAUGGUCAUUUCAAAGUGAUUUUUGGUUUUGGUAAGUGGGUCCUACAGCAUUAUGUCUUCAUUUUUGUGAGUUAUUGCACCUGGCUAGUAUUUUCAUUGCUGCCUUAUGUUUAUUUGCUGCAAUUCCCUCUCAAAACUGUGUGCACUGGUUAUAAUGGUAAUGAGGAAGAUAACUCAAACUAAAAUUCAAAUCAUAGAAGCUUUAGACAGAUAGGAGAGUUAACUCAUUUUCAGCAUGUGCAGGCUAAAUUACGCAUGGGAUGAAAUAGAAUAGGCAAAUUGCAGCAUAAUAAUACACAGUAAGUUUAAAACAUAUAACCUGUACAGUAUUUAAACUGGCUUUAAUAUUCCUUGAAUACCACAUUAUGGUUUUUCAUACAUCCUCUCAUUCCUCUCUUUCCCAGUCCUCGUGCCCCACCUUGAGAGGAUAAUGAUUUCACAGGAUCUAGACUCAGGAUUAAAUUUCGCUUGCUCUACUGUCUCCAGUUAACGUCUUUGUUAUUACUGGUCUGUUUUUGUUGUUGUCUUUCACAAGUCUUUGACUCGGUAGCAGUAGCAAAUGAUGGAGAUCUUCAAGUUUCUCAAAAAAAAAAAAAAAAAAUGCCUUUCAGGGUAAUAUCACUCCACCUGAGAGGAUGCCUCCCUCGCUCCUUGGCCGAGCUGAAUCACUGAUCAUUGUGCCCACGGUCUAAUUGUGAUAACAGACUAAUUGCAGCUGUUACGGGGAUGCCAGCUCAGUAAUCUGUGUUUCUCAAUGGCAGCUUUGUUUUGUAGGGCCAUCUCUGACAAGACUCAAUUGGCAGAUAUUUUUCUAACAAAUGUUCAUCCCAGAUGCUGCUAGUGUUUAAAUAGGAUGUGCCAAGAUUUAGAUAGAAAUAUAAAAUCAUUUGAUAUUUUAAAACCUAGAAAUCUAAAAUAAUCUCAGAGAAAGAACAGUAGUUCUUUAUGUGGGGAAGUGCCCGGUGCUUGGUAAAAAAAAAAAAAAAAAAAUUUUGUACUGUUUAUAUGUAAAAAGAGAACAGGGCCUAUAUUUAUAAUACUUUAACACCAUGGUUGGAACAAUGGAAGCAUCACUGUUAAGCCCCCAUAUGCGAUGCAGAUAUCUUCAUUAUCUCCCAUUCAGGGUUUUCACUGAAGUCUAAUCAACGAUUUUUUGUAUGUGCAAUUUUCUAGAACGUUUGCUGUUCUAGGAAGUCCUGAAGGUCUAACCCAGCAGUGAAAACCAGCCUGUUUCCCCAGAUACCUAUUAAGCAAACCACUUUGAGACUUAUAAGUUAGAUCCCCUCUAAAGGUUUUUUCUACAUUUAAAUUCCAAACAAAGGCAAUGCAGAAGUUUCACUUUCUCUUUAUGCAUAAUUUAUUGCUUGGUAUCCCUCCAAAUAAAAUCCCUGUGCGGAUGGAUGAUCGCCACCCCUUCCAUGUCUGUGUGGUUGCUGCUAGAGUGAGCAGGGAAAUAAAACCAAGGGAAUGAAAAUGGAUAUUUUGGUUUUAUUACAUCGUUAAGCCAGUUUUGUGCAUUGGAUUAUCUAGCAUGUUAGUAAUAAAUGGUUUCUCUAAUUAUUUAACAUGUGCGCAAUAUAAAGAAAAUGUGUAAUACAGUCAUAUGUUGAAGUCAGGAAUAGCAAAGCCGCCAGAUGGCUAGUAACCAGAUUAAAACAAAACAAAUCACAAUACGAUUUUUAAAAAAAUGAAGCAAGUCCGAACUUUUCCCAAAAUACUUUUAUUUUUAGGCAGCGAUUAGAAACAAAGUGUACCAGCACACAGUUAAACUGGCUUUUAUUCUUCACCUGAGACUAGUUCUAAUUGAUCACUGUGCUAUUGUAUGAUUUGAUUGUGCUGACAGUUACAUGCCACUGUUCCCAUAAUAACAAUUUUUCUUCUUUGUUCAAAUGAAUUUCCUAAUGACACGUGUGAUGGGAUGUUUUAAUUCUUUUCCCUUUUCAAAUCCACCUUCCUGUUGCAAUGCAUGAUGGGCAGGCUCAAUAUUGUGCAUGACACCCGCUACAAGUGUUGUUCCCAUGGUGCACGGUGCUACGCCAGCCACUGUGUCCGCAGCAACAACAUCUGCCACAAGUGUUCCCUUCGCUGCAACAGCCACAGCCAACCAGAUACCCAUAAUAUCUGCCGAACAUCUGACUAGCCACAAGUAUGUAACCCAGAUGUAGAAUUUUCAUCACUAAACAAUCAUACUAAAGAGGAAAGGACAGUGUGCUUGGUUAGAGUAAAGGACGAGGUCAUUAGCCAUAUUGUAUAUACCGUCAAGCAACACACACAAAAACCCCUCAGCCACAAGACAUCCACAUAUUGCAUGUUAACCAGAAGAAAAGACACCAUGGAAAUCCACUGCACACUGUUGCCUAUACACUUUGUACAUUUAAUUGAUAUUUGUGCUGAGGUGAUAUUCCUGUCUAAAAGAACAACAUCGUCUUUCUUUUCUAGCACAGAGUUAUGCAUUAAAAUAUGCAUACCUAAUUAGUUUCCUAUAUAUUCAUGCCAUCUUGAAAAGACAGACUGUGGUGUAACCAUGAUUCUAUUAUGUAUUGGUACGUCUGUAGACCAAGAUAUAAUUUUUUAAAAAUAAGUUUAUUUCUUUCAAGGUUUACAAAUAACAAAGGUGCACCUUGUAUUUAAAAUUGCCAUUAUAGAUGAGAGCGUGCAUGCACAGUCAUUUUUGUUUGAGAGUAAUAUUUUUAAUGUAAUAGAUUUUAAGAUGCGGUGAGGGAGGGAUCUGACAGAGAUGAAUGUGCCAAGCAAAACCACAACUGUGUAUCUUUUAAAGCACAUCAUGGCUUUAAGUACCAUGUUGUUAAGGAUUCUCAUGAAGUGCCAUAGACUGUAUAUCAAAUUAGAGUAUUAUUUCUUCAGUGUUAUUGUUUUCAGAGCCACAUUUUGUUGCUUAUCUGCUAGUACUAAUCAGUCAAAGGGCACCAUUCUUUUUUUCUUCUUUUCUUUUUUUUUUUUGAAACCAAAGCUGUCUCAGAAAUGGCCAAUUUAACUCUACAGUAACAAUAGACAGCACAACACAAACUCUCUCAAUACAGAUAAACUCACACAUACUGGAGAUAUAUAUAAUAGAUAUAUAUAUAUAAAAUUAUUUUAAUGCAUUGUAGUGUAAUAUUUCUGCAUACUAUACUGUAUAACAUGUUAUUCAAAAGGGAUAUGCCAUUUCUGAGACACGAUAACAAAAAAAAAAUGUUUGAGGAAAUUAUUUUGCUUCUAUUUAUAGCUCUGUCAAAAGUCAAAAGACUAUAAAUGCUUUGCAAAAAUGGUUUCACAUUUGCUUAAACGCUUCAUCACAGUCACAUUUAAAAUAGUGACUCUAAACAGAGAAGAAAGCAGCACUGUCAUCAGAUGCAUGAUAAACCAAAAUAUGAAAAUGGGAAAUGUUUAAUUAACCUAGUAAUUGGGUGGGUUAAGUACAUGGGUGAAUUUUAUAUGUGAUUUGUUUUGUUUUGUUUUGUUCUGAUUAACUGCUUAUAGCCUUAGAAAGCCUUUUACAAAAUUAAAAAAAAAAAAUAGAUGUGCAUUCAGUUUUUAAGAAUGGAUUCAUCCAAAGGAAUUCCUUUUUUUUGUGGUUUGGAUGUUGCAGCUAGUAAAGGAUAUUUUUGCUCUGUUCAGCAGUUCUAAAAAUUGCUGAAGUAGGGGCUAGGUCACUGGUAGUUAUAGUAUGGAAUGGGAGAAGUGAAAGUUCGGUUAUAGAACUUUCCAUACUUCCAAGUUUACUGCAAGUUUUUAUGCUUGAGAGAGAUGCUUUCUAAUAUAAGACUGAUGUGUUGAUUUUACUGAUUGUACUGUACAUCUAUUAAAGCCUUAGAUUAUUACAUUACGGGUUGGAACCCAUACCAAUGUAAUUUCAAUCAUGUUAAGAGAGUAAUGGUGACUUCACAUGUUAUUGUAGUUAGUUACAUUAUAGAAUAUUACUUAUUUUUCUUGUUAAAAUGUAGUUUUUCAUUUCCUACAUUUAUUAGAUUUCAUUUUCUAUUAACAAUUGAAUACCAUUUCAGUUUAUAGACUAUUGUUUUAUUAGAUUUUACCGAUGAAUUUUUCAAAAUACAAAAAAAAAUUAGUUUUUCCUUCAUAACAUACUCAGUUUUGAAUUACAUGUAGUGUCAUACGAAUAUUCGUAUUAUUGUUAACUAAAUGAUUUAUAUUUUACUGAUUUAAUAUUAAAGUGUAAGAAUGUCAGUCAUUGUUAGUUCUUGUCUAGUUUUCAUUAAAAGAACAAAGAUCUUUUAUAUGGAUAUCUUAUAAAUAUAUAAUCAUUGCUAAGUAAGAAGUUAAGUUGUUGCUAUCGCAACAAUCCUGGCAGACAAUUGAGUAAUAUUUUGAUGAUUUAUUUUGUUUGUAAUUAGUUAUUAUAAGAAGAUCUAGAUCCUAGAUAUUAGAAUAAAAUUUAUUUUCUACUGUAUCCAUUUCAAAUGUUAAAGUAUUGUUUAAUAUUUUUGAAAUCCCUGAAUAUCAGGCCUUGUUAUAAAUAAGCUGCAUAAUCAAUAAAUAGAACAAGGGACUUUUUGUUGAUAAUCCAAAUACUCAAAGUUUACGUAAUGAGAAUUAUAGCGUGUGUGCAAACUCUUGAGGGUUGAUUAUGCUGCAAUUUAGCAUGUUGGAACGUCUAGAGAGAAGGUUGACUUUUUGCACUUCUGUAUAUAGUCAAAAGAGAGAAACCUGUAUAAUAGUAAGAUCUUAUUUUGAAUAAAAACGUCUAUAAUUACAAGGAGUUUUGUUAAGGCUAAUAAAAUGACAGACUGAGCAAAAUUGCUUGCAAAAGUGGCACAGAGUUAGCACUCCAUAUCCCUUCAAACAUGUUGCUUUGCUUUAUUGUGGACAGCUUGUAGUUUGCCAGGAUUUUUUCAGCUGGAAAGAUAUGCCAUCCUUCCGAGAUCUCAUGACUGACAAAAACUCCAUUGGGCCAAAUCUGCCUGAAGAUCAUUACCAAAAAUAGCAGGUACUUCAACCAUUAAGGUGAAAUCAUGGAUCAGAUAUUCCGUACAUUUUUCAAAACUGCAUGUUUAAAACAUCAACGAAAAAAAAAAAAACAAGAGAGAAAGAACUAUACUAAGGACAUAUAUUAUACAAAUCAGUUUCUGCCAAUUUCAGUGGUUUAUUGUUCACAAAAAAAAAAAAAAAGAAAUCUUUAAAACAAGUAUUGACUUUCACAAAAUUUAAACCAUAAACAGGCAAACCAAACAGCACACCGUAGCUAUAGUUAUGUGAUUGUUUUUUAAUUGCCGUAGGAUCCUGUUCUUUCAGCAGGUGAAAAAUAAAACACAGUUCAAAUUUCACGGUUUUAAUUUUCAACUCAGAAGCACUCAAAAAAGCAAAUGUGAUAAUGGGCACUUGUUUAAUGAAUUUGUGUAUCCAGCCUUCACUCCAGCUGGUUAUCAUGUUGCACUUAUCAGCAACCCACCCGCUUUCAUCUGCUGAAAGGACAGAUGUGCUUGGUUUUACUAUUAUGUAAUCACAACUUACUUUCUGCUUGUAGUUGCUUAAAAUUAUGUAUUUUGUCUUGGGCUGCAAUUUGUUUUAUGCUUAUUUUAUUAUUACUGCAGUAGUUGACUUUGCUGUAUGGAAAAAUAAAGUGAAAUUGCCCUAAUAAAACUUCUCUUUCUUAAGUAUA